ACAGAGGAAGCCGAAAAUCUGCGACAGAGUAGGCG
rfam:Chitinophaga pinensis DSM 2588, complete genome.